ACGGCUCAGUAACACGUGGACAACCUACCCUUGGGACGGGGAUAAACCCGGGAAACUGGGUAUAAUACCCGAUAGAUCUCGGAAGCUGGAAUGCAUCGAGAUCGAAAGCUCCGGUGCCCAAGGAUGGGUCUGCGGCCUAUCAGGUAGUAGUGGGUGUAGCGUACCUACUAGCCUACGACGGGUACGGGUUGUGAGAGCAAGAGCCCGGAGAUGGAUUCUGAGACACGAAUCCAGGCCUUACGGGGUGCAGCAGGCGCGAAAACUUUACAAUGCCGGCAACGGCGAUAAGGGGACCUCGAGUGCCAGGUUACAAAUCUGGCUGUCGUAAUGCCUAAAAAGCAUUUCAUAGCAAGGGCCGGGCAAGACCGGUGCCAGCCGCCGCGGUAACACCGGCGGCUCGAGUGGUAACCGUUAUUAUUGGGUCUAAAGGGUCUGUAGCCGGCCGGAUAAGUCU
rnacentral:rRNA from 1 species